rnacentral:lncRNA from 1 species
AUUACUAGUUGAUGUAGGUUCAAAUACAUCGUUAGCUUGUCGAUCCAUUUGGGGGAUUUGGCAUUAGAACUCAACUAUGCUACCAUGGUAAAAUAAGAUAUUCAAACACUACUAAUCUCCUUCAACUAGAAAAAAUUAAGUAUUCGCAAUCCUGAAAAGGGAAAAUAUAUAAUGGUAUGAAGGUCAGUUUCACAUUGCAGUUAAGCAGAUUGAAUACCCGACACGGAUGAAAAAUCUCUAAUGGCAUAUACAAGACAGUUUGAGUCAUGAUUACUCCCAUUCCAAGCUGCAUUAAGUAAUCUAGCUACCAUUAAUUGUCUAGUGGAAUAUAAUUCAAAUUAUCUAAUAGCAAAUAAUUAUCAAUUUUAAUCAUAGAAAGGGUACAAAUUUCAAGGUUGAUGUAAUUUUCUCAACCCAUUUGGGAAAAUAACAAAUGGGUUCAGAUACAAGCUUACCAUAUACAUCACAAACUCGAUCUUUACACAUUGUCUCCCAAAACUCAUGUCCUAAAAAAACAUAAAAAUCAAAACCCAGUAAAAUAAAUAAAAAUGACAAAAACCCAAAACAAAUAUCAUAAAAGACAUGAUAUAUGAUUGAGAAAAAUGCAGAUUGAUAUAUGAUGCAUUGAGAAAAAUGCAGAUUGAACAGUGAGGUGAAAAUAAAUGUGUAAUUUAUUCAUAAAAGACAUAAUAUAUGAUUGAGGCAUAAAAUACCCAGGAAUUGAAUGGCUUCACAAGUACUAGCAACAAAGAUUUAGAAAUGACAAUUAAACAAUUUCUAAUUCAUUACAUAAAAUAAAAAGGGAAAUUAAAGAAAGAAAGAAAGUAAACAAACCUGAGGGAUGAGCAAGAGGAAGAAUCUAACAAAAACAAAAAUUCCCUUUUUCCUAUAUUUUUUUUAUUUGGUUGAGCUUCCUUGUACCGUUGGUGUUCUAAAAGAGGUCAAUAACCUGUCCGCAAUCCGUGAAGGUAGGAGCACAACUCUCCCUCUUCC